CCCGGAUGCUGUCCUGGGUGCUUCUGUGCUGCAGUAGCGGUUGAGCAGCUACGGUGGAGUCUACCGAACUCGCAGGCUCUAAAAUGCUCCUGCUCUGAGGCCUUAUAGAAAGCACAGUGUUUGCAGCAAAGGGCUGUCGUCAGGAUUUCCUGGGGGGACUGGGGUGCAGCUCCGUGGUACAGCACGUGCAAGCCCCUGGAUUCCUUCCCGGGCACCACCAAAACGAAGCGUUGGGAGAGAAGUCGCUGGCCCCGCAGCAGACCCAAGGAGCCCGUGGCACCUGUUUGCCAGAAAUCUUCAGGUGGGAGCCGGAUCCUGGGUCGCCUGGCCCGUGCCCGCAGAGACGCACACAAGUCCGUCUUCGCCGUGGUCCCGGGAGAACGCUUUCGUCACCAGGAAUGCCAGCCAGCCCACAGGGAGGAACUGCUGAGACCUCUGAAGAAGCGGACACCGGAAGGGAGAGCUAACUUCUCGGCACCUGGUGCUGCCAUGGCAACUGGUGCUCACAGAUGAUGUCAUCAUGACUGGCUGUGUGCAGGUGGAUUAUGGGGAAAAGACUGCUUGCGUAAAUAAAUGCAUGAAUGAAGAGGCCAUUAUUAAGGCAGGGAGCAAGAUAUAAACACCUGUGAUCCUCGCACCCUGGGAGGCUGAAGCAGGAGUAUUGCCCCAAAUUUGAGGCCAUCCUAGGAUAC